UACGAAGGGGGCAAGCGUUGUUCGGAAUUAUUGGGCGUAAAGCGCACGUAGGCGGUUUGUUAAGUCGGAUGUGAAAUCCCUCGGCUCAACUGAGGAAGUGCAUCCGAAACUGGCAAGCUUGAGUACGAAAGAGGGUCGCGGAAUUCCCGGUGUAGAGGUGAAAUUCGUAGAUAUCGGGAGGAACACCGGUGGCGAAGGCGGCGACCUGGGUCGAUACUGACGCUGAGGUGCGAAAGCGUGGGGAGCAAACAGG
rnacentral:rRNA from 1 species